rnacentral:rRNA from 1 species
UACGUAGGGGGCAAGCGUUGUCCGGAAUCAUUGGGCGUAAAGCGCGCGUAGGCGGCCAGAUAAGUCCGGUGUGAAAGUCACAGGCUCAACCUGUGAAUGCCGCUGGAAACUGUCUGGCUUGAGUCCGGAAGGGGCGAGUGGAAGUUCCUGGUGUAGCGGUGAAAUGCGUAGAUAUCGUAAGGAAGACCAGUGGCGAAGGCGGGUCUCUGGACAGUUCCUGACGCUGAGGCACGAAGGCCAGGGGAGCAAACGGG